UUUUUGUUACAAAUAACACUUUUUAAAAAAAAAAUAUUAAGAGCAUAUCAAAUUAAAAGUAUCUUAUUAAUUACAGGAAGUUAAAAUUUAUAAGAAAAUUUAGUUUCUUAAAUUUGAAGAAAAUUACUUUAAUCCAAAUAGACUAUUAGUUGUAUGAACAUAACAAAUAUCAUUCUGAAAUAAAGUACUUAAUCUUUAAAAGACUUGUUGUAAGGGGAAAAUCGAAGGAACCAUUUUAAUCCGUUUUUAGACGAGACAAAUUAGGUGAAAAAAAUUAUGAAUUAAGUAAAAGAAAGCUAAGAUAAAAUAAAAUGACAACACUGCAGGGAAUUUGUCUAGGUUAAUUGAUUAAAACGUUAUUUAUACAAACAAGCAAAGAUAACUACCAAAAUUAAUAUAAGAGUUUGAAAUUGGGCCCUUAAUUGGCCCAUCAACAAAGCUGCUCAUUUUUUGGGCUUUAAAUUAUGGACUUUGGGUCCAUUUUCUGAAGUGUAUACCAACUGUAUAUCAACAGAUUAAGUCUCAACUUUUUUAUGUAUAUCACUGCAUAUACAGUGUAUAUCAGCGCCAAAGACUGCUUAUUUCCCCUCCAUUUGCCAUCAUAAAUCGUGUGAUAAUGCACGGCUACUGUUUUCCAUGUAUACACACUGUAUAUCAGCGUAUACCAAAGACUGCUUAUUUCCCCUCCAUUUGCCAUCAUAAAUCGUGUGAUAAUGCACGGCUACUGUUUUCCAUGUAUACACACUGUAUAUCAGCGUAUACCAGCUUGUAUACUUGUGUUAUCCUGUGUAUAUCAGUCCAAUUUUUGACUUUAAUAAGGCUCAACUCGAUGGCGUUUGAAUGCAAGGAUAUGGGGAGUCCCAUUGGACUCAUCCGGAAGAGUUCAUGUAAAGAGAAGAAGAGAUAAGGAUUAGUGACCAGUUCACAUUCAUGAGUAAGAUUUUUUUUUAGAAAAAAAACAAACUUUACCAUCUUCUAAAGAAGAUAGGAUAUUGACAUGCUAGAUCCACAUGCUAAAGAGAGAAUGAAUUAAUACUUAAGACAUGACAGGGUAUUAGUCAAACAACAGCAGUGCAACAACUUCAAUCAAGUGUUUCAAAUAAACACAAUUCGAAAACUAAUGGAAGUGAAGGGGGAGUUUCAACUUGCAACCACCACAACACCUCAUAUGCUUAUAUAUUCGAUAAACUUGAUAGACUCACAAACGACCCUCUUGGUUUUGAUGAAAGCUUCAAACCACCACUUUGAAAAUUUGUAAGAGACAAAAAGAAAAAGAGAUCUCUUUAGUUUUUAAUUUAAGAUAAAGGAUUCUCAAACAUGACAAAGUCAAGUGAUUGAUCAUAACAUUACUAAGCAAAUACAUGAAUUUUGUCAAAAACAAAACUUAGGAUAAGAUAAGUUAGUUUGACAAAAAUGCUCUUAACUUUAUGGAAAAUUGAGAAAAGUAAACAGAAAACAAUAAACAAAGAGACCAUGUUGAAUAUUACCAUUUCUGAGUAAGCCAAACUCAGUCUUAGCUCUAAACUUUAGUCGAAAUAAGUGUAUACAGAAAAUCCAAUAUACAUAUACAUACAACUAUCUCGUAAACUUUGCAAAAUUAAUUGCAUAUCCUUCUUCAAAAGUUUACUUUAAAAUAUGACUUCUUGUUGCACAUGCCUAUAGUCUCAAACACCAGUUCAAGUCUUCAACUGUCCAAAAAUUAUACUCUUUUCAUUCGUUUUAGUUGCCCACAAAAUACUUUACAUUGUUUCUUUAAGCAUAUAAAAAUACCGUGCACAUUUUAUUACUAUAAUAUUCAUAACUAACGUUUUGAAAUAAAAAAAAAUAUUCAUUCAAAAUGACUAGAAUCCAAAGAGAUAAAAGAGUAAAGGAAUUACCAGUUUUGGGCAGCGAACUGGGAUUACGAGACUGUACGACGAAACUUCCUAACACUAAAUUCGAUCUCAAUCCGCAGAACUCAAAAUAAUUUCAUCGGAGGUUGAUUUUUCGAGUUGUGUCCUUCGAGAAUUUCGGUUGCAUGAGGUUAGAAGCAUGCGCCUCCAAAACCCCCAAAUUUUUUCUCAAAAUUCUCCCCCCUUCGUCAAUGGAAGCAUGAGUUCCUACUUAUAAUCGGAAAAAUCUAAUUUAAAAUUCAAAAGAGAGUCGUUUCCGUGACAUAAAGUGGUUGAGGAUUUGACAAAAAAUUGAAAAAGGGGAUGGAAACAUAUCCCAAAAAUCCGCAUUUGAUUCUGAUGCUUCUGAUUCAGAUUAGAUUUUGGGAGCAAGCACCACACACCACCUUGAAAAAAAGUCAAAUAUGAAGGCUCGAGGUCUACGAAAUUCAGAGACAAGAAAGAGAGAGAGGUGAGGGAUUUUCGUAAUUUAGGGGUUCGUUGUCGUUGGGUCGGGUUCGUCGGGUCACCGGGUUCGCCGGUUUGGACCCGUCGUUGCUGGUGGGUUUUUGUCGUUGUUGCUUUGAAACUGCUGCUGAUAUUGUCGCAUUGUCGUUGAAAUUGUUUGUGUUGAAGUCGCUGUUUUCUGAAUUGGUUGAACGUAGUUGAAGUCACUCUUGUUAGAGUUGUACGCUGAAGGGCAGGGGUUAAAUGGGAAAUGGGAAUUUGGGCCUGGUCAGUGGUGGUGUUGGGCUGGCGUUAUGGUGGGCCAAUUGGGGUAUUGUUUGGUGGAAUGGGUAGGUUAAUUUAACUAAAGAUGAGUAGGGAUUUAAGACUAGGUUGUUUGAUAAAUGGCCCCAAAUUCUAAUUUCAGCCUAUUUUAAAUUUAAAUCAUAUUGAAAAUUAAUUAGUCAAUUGCAUUGUAAUUAUGAUCAAAUUAAUUUCGAUUACGAUCAAAUUCAAUAAGAUUGGCUAAGAUUAAAAAAAAAAUCGAUACGAAUUAUCAAUUAGUUUAAUCCGCAACUCCUUGGUUUAACAAAAUCAAACAAAUAUUUUCCAAAUAAAUUAUUUUUUAAGAAUAAAUUAUAUCUAAAUUAAUAUUUUACCCAUUUGAAUUAAUUUUAGAGACAACACUUGAUUAAAAUCAAAUUUUUAAUAAAAUAAUUAUUUAAGCACCAAAAUUAUACGAUCUCAUAUACAAAUACGGGAAUAUAUAAAUGCUACUUAAAAUGAAAAAAAUACCCAGAAAAUAUUUUUGAAUUUGUUUCUUAUUUGAAUAAAAUAAAUAUUAUAAUUUUAUUUAAAACCAAAGAAAUUCAAAAAUUAAACUUAAAUGAGUAGGGCAAAAAUUAGGUGUCAACAAAUACCAUUCUAAAUGAGGAAGAAAAAUUGGGAGGUUUACCUGUUGUACCACAACAGUGUGAGGACUUUGCCUUUUGUGUGAACUCUUGUGAAUUAGAAGAAAUUCCUUUUAAAGGAAACCCUUUUACUUGGUGGAAUGAUAGAGUUAUCUCAGAUUGUAUAUUUGAAAGAUUAUAGAGUCUUCAUUAACCAAGACAUGCAAGAUUGGUUAUUAGAAAGGGAAGUAGAACAUUUGGUAAGGUUCGGGUGUGAUCAUGCCCCAUUGUUGAUUUCUAUGACCCAGAGAAUUCAGGAUUAUAAAAGAUCUUUCAAAUUUCUCCAAUGUUGGACUAAACAUGAAGAUUUUUUUAGACAUUGUGAGAGAUAAUUGAUAGACUGAUGUGGAAGGCAAUUGCUUUUAUAAGUUUAAGCACAAAAUUAAACAUAUAAAACAAGUGCUUUCAAAAUGGAGUAGGGAGAAUUUCAGAGACAUUUUCCAGCAGAUUAUCUUCAGGGAAGAAGUAUUGAAAUUGAAAGAACACCUAUUUCUAGAAGAUCCAUCUCCUGAAAAUAGAAGUAUCAUUCAAAAGGCACAAGCAGAGCUUAAACAAUAUUUGCACUAUGAAGAGGAAUUUCAGAGACAAAAAACUGGUCUCACUUGGUUUUCAGAGGGAGAUAGAAUUACUAAGUUUUUUCAUAAUUUAGUUAAGGCAAGGAGAAAUAGGCUGAAAAUCAAGAGAAUACAAGGAUCUGAUGGUAAUUGGUUAGAAGAAGAUCUUAUGGGCUCUGAAGCAGUAGAUUUUUAUCAAAAACGAUUUCAUCAGGAAGAAGAAAAUUUAGAUUUCUCUAUUUUAGAGCACAUUCCUAAUCUUAUUACUAAAGAAGAAAAUGAAGUUCUUACCAACCUACCAGAUGAAGAAGAAGCAAGCUAUUUUCAAUCUUUAGGGAAAAAGUGCUACUGGGCCAGAUGGUUUAUCAGGAACAUUCUAUCAAGUUUGUUGGGAAAUAGUUGGACCAGAUGUUGUGGAAUUGGUAAGAGCUUUCUUUGAAUGAAGCACCCUUUAAAGGCUAUCACCCAUACUAAUCUCAUUUUGCUUCCUAUAAAAGUUAAUCCAGUUAGUUUUGUUGAUCUUAGACCCAUUAGUUUGAGCAACUUUAUUAGUAAAGUUUUCUCUAGAGUGAUUCAUGAUAGAUUGGAGAAAUUGCUCCCAUAACUUAUAUCUACCAAUCAGUCAGGUUUUGUGAAAGGAAGAUGCAUAAUUGAGAAUGUUCUCUUUACUCAGGAGAUUGUUACAGACACAAGGAAGAGGGAUAAGCCGGCCAAUAUUAUUAUUAAACGAGAUAUGGCCAAAGCCUAUGACAGGGUAUCUUGGCUAUUCCUUACCAACGUGUUGAGAAAAAUGGGGUUUUCAGAGAGGUAUAUAGAGUUGAUAUGGAGACUAAUUGGUAUUCAAUUCUUUUCAAUAGGAAAGUUCAUGGUUUCUUUCACUCUAUAAGAUGAGUCAAACAAGGGGAUCCACUCUCACCAGCUUUUGACAUUCUAUCAGCAGAAGUCCUUUCUAGGGCACUGAACAGUUUGUUUGAGCAGGAUAACUAUCAGGGGUUUGGUCUUCCUAAGUGGAGUGCAAACAUUAACUACUCAUCUUAUGCUGAUGAUACUAUAAUUUUUGCCUCUGCAGAAGAGACUUCUCUUUAGAUGACUAUGAAAGUACUGAAAGAUUAUGAGAAAACAUCUAGUCAGUUGGUUAAUAGAGAAAAAAAUGCAUUUUAUAUGCACAGAAACACUUCUUCAGAAUUGAGACAGGUUGUGUCUAGUAUAACAGGUUUUAAAAGUGGUUCAUUCCCAUUCAAAUAUAUAGGGUGUCCCAUUUUUCAUACUAAGAAGAAGAAAGUCUUCUAUAAUGAGUUAAUAAAGAAGAUUAAGGACUGGCUGCACAUUGGAAAGAAAAGUAACUAUCUUUUGGGGGUAAAGCUAUGUUAUUCAAUAAUGUUCUUUAGAGUAUGCCCCUAUAUUUAUUAUCAGCUAUGGCCCCAACAAAAUUCACCAUUAAUGAAAUUCACAGAGUUUUUGCAAGUUUUUUUUGGAGCAACAAAGAGGAAGAAAGAAGCAGACAUUGGUCUAAAUGGUUGAAUAUUUGCUUGCCUAAGGAAAAAGUAGGGUUAGGGUUCAGAUCUCUGUUUGAUGUUUCAAAAGCCCUAUCUGCUAAACUUUGUGGAAGUUUAGAGUUACAAUUACAUUGUGGUCCACUUUUAUGUGGAACAAAUAUUGCAAAAAAAUAAACCCAACUCAGGUUGUAUAGAAAGGAGGUUCACAGAUUUGGAAGUUGAUGUUGGAAGCAAGAGACUUUAGUGAAAAAUAUAUUUGAUGGGAAACAAGGUGUGGUAAUACAAGUUUUUGGCAUGACAAUUGGACUAGAUUAGGAUCACUGACAAGUAUUUUACAUCCUAAAUCAGAAACUUCCUUCAUAGGUGAUUAACCAUAUUAGCAAUUUAUUGCCUUUGAAUAGCAACACUACUAGUAGUAACAAACCUUGGUGGACGUUGUCUAAAAGUGGUGAAUUUACUGUCAGAACAGCUUGGGAAAAGAUCAACAACAGAAAAGAUAAAUCUUGGUUUUUGACUAAAGUGUGGAGAAAGAGAUUGCCUUUUAAAAUUGCCUUUUGCCCUUUGGAGGAUUUGAAGAGAAAAGAUUCAUGUUGAUGAUAUCGUUGGUUUCAAGAUGUAGAUGUUCUGUCAACCCACAACUUGAAACAAUAGAGCAUUUAUUUCUCACAGGAGAGAUUGUCUCUAAUAUCUGGGCAAGAUAUGCCUUGGCUGCAGGUAUUCAAGGCCAUUUGUGUAGAUUAAACAAACAAUUGUUAAAUGGUGGAAAGUAAAAUGUCCAUAUACAUUACUAAGUAGCAACAUUGAAGCUACAGUGUUGGAAUGUUGGUCUCCUCAAGGUUGGAACCUCACAUUCAGAAGACAUCUCAAUGAUUGGGAAGUGGACAGGAUGACAAACAUGUUGAAUGUGCUAGAAGUCUUCACGGGCACAACUACUAAUCCAGAUUCUCUAAGGUGGAAACACACAGAAGAUGGCAUUCUCACAGUGAAUAGACUCUACAAGAAGGAAAACAACGCAGUACAGGGUGAAGUAUCAAAGCUCUGGAAACCUAUGGAAGAUUCAGGUUCCUACUAGAGUGAAAUGUUUCACUUGGCUAGUGGUCAGAAGGGCAUGUCUCACUCAAGAAGUUCUCCAGAAGAAGGGAAGGACACUAGUUCCUAGAUGUUUUUAUGCAAUGAAACUGGGGAAACAAAUAACCACUUAUUUCUACACUGCAAAUUUACUGCUCAACUUUGGCAUUUGUUCUUCACCCUCACUAAAUUGGAAUGGACAAUGCCUGAGCACACAACUGAUUUGUUAAGUUGUUGGAUCAGAAGAGGUGGUAGCAAGAGUCAAAAGAAGUGGUGGAGGAUGAUACCCUCCUGCAUUUGGUGGUCAGUAUGGACGGAAAGAAAUGGGAGAUGCUUCGAAGACAAAGUCAGGUCCAUUAAUGAUGUAAAAUGGAAUUGUCUUGUCACGCUAUUUUUUUGGUUCAAGGAGAAUUGUAUAGAGGACGUAGACGAAUUUGUAGAUUUCUUAGGAGCAUUGUAACUCUAGACUCUAAGUUCUUUUUGUAACUAUUUUUGGAGGUGUCCGGCAUCCUUUACUGCUGAGGAAUAUAACAGUACCAUUUUUCAAAAAAAAAUGUCCAUAUACAUUAAAACCCUUAAUCAGGGUGGCUCCUGCUUUUAUAGUGUGGCAAAUUCGAAAAUGGAGAAACAGUAAGAUUCAUGGAGGUAAUAUGUCCAUAAAUAGAGUUUCCUAUGAUAUUGAUUUGAAUCUACAUCAAUAAUCUGUGAUGGUUUACCCGUGGAUAUCAGAAAUACCAAUGACAUGGGUGUUGAUGGUGCAGUUUUUUGAAGGAUUUAAAUCUUAGGUUUCGUGUCAGGCUGAAAAGUCGCAUUUCCCUCCUAGAGGUUACUAUAAGUACAAUACUGAUGGCUCCUCUAAAGGGAAUCCAGGACCUGCAUCAUGCGCCUUUUGCAUAAGAAAUGAUUCAGGGGAUUUCAUGUUUGCUAGUGCUAAUAAGAUCCACAACUCAAUAAGUAUCUAUGCUGAACCUAAAGCAACUGAACAAGGCAUCGAUUUUUGUAUAGAACAUAAUUUACUGUCUUUAGUGGUGAAAACUGAUUCACUAGCUAUGAAAAGCUUCAUUGAAGAUGGAUGGAAGAUCCCAUGGAACAUUAGUAUGGAAGUUAGGAGGAUACAAGGAUGGAAGGAAAAGGAAGAGAUCAUUUUUCAACACAACAUGAGAGAAGGGAAUCAAGUGGCGGAUUUUCUAGCUAACUUUCUUUUCUUUUUUGUAGGAUCUUUAAGUUACAAUUAAUUAGCAAAAUUACCUACUGGAGGAAGGAAACUACUAAAUAUAGACAAACAAAUCAUUCCAAGGCUUCGUUUUCAGAAGGUCAAAAAUACUAGGCACAAAAUACAAUUUAAUCAAAGCAUGUAAGAAGGAAUAAACAGUCAGCAAUUUUAGCAAUUGGGCUACAACAGAAACAUUACAGUACUGCAAGGGCAACAGAAAUGGAACAAAGUAGAAUUAAAAUAGCUUGUUUGACUUAGCUUCUUAUUUUUCUGAAGUUAAACAGCGAUAUUAACCUCUUAAUGAAGUUCAACUUGCUUGAAAGAUGAAGGAAAAGCUUAGUAAAAUAGAGUGACAUGAAAAAUUCAUCGGAGAUAGUGAAGAGGGUACAGAUCUAAUUAAAAACCUUACCUUGAGUUUUGAAUUGACUCUAUAAAUCCACAUCUUGAAGAAAUCUUCAUUUGGAUUGGUUACCAUGACAUACGGUGAGAGCUUAUGGGAUGCAUUUAGAUGGAACCUACCCAGAAGAUAUGGAAAUUACUAGUCAAAUACAAAGCAAGGAAAUGGUUGCAAAUUUCAGUUACUUCACAUCUUCACAAAGCUAUUGGUUUACUGAAUCAGAGAUUUACCUGGAAGUGACGGUCGACGAUGGAGAUCGGCAUCUAUGGAAGCUUUAACUCAGCUGAACCAAUCUUUCCUUUUCUGUCCAUUAGGUUUCCUUUGACUUUACUUUACUUUUCUUUCUUUUUUUUGUCUUAGUUUUAGUUUAUUUGGAAUGGAUCGAGUCUACUUUGGACUUUGCAUUUUGCUUAAUUUUGUACAGAUCUAUUUUAAUUAAAUGAGGCUCACGGGUCUCACCAAAAAGUUGAAUAAAAGAAAUGUA
rnacentral:lncRNA from 1 species